rnacentral:rRNA from 1 species
GACGAACGCUGGCUGCGUGCUUAACACAUGCAAGUCGAACGCUGAAGCCCCAGCUUGCUGGGGUGGAUGAGUGGCGAACGGGUGAGUAACACGUGAGUAACCUGCCCCUGACUUCGGGAUAAGCCCGGGAAACUGGGUCUAAUACCGGAUAUGACUCCAGCUCGCAUGAGUUGGGGUGGAAAGUUUUUCGGUUGGGGAUGGGCUCGCGGCCUAUCAGUUUGUUGGUGAGGUAAUGGCUCACCAAGACGACGACGGGUAGCCGGCCUGAGAGGGCGACCGGCCACACUGGGACUGAGACACGGCCCAG